UUAAAGUUUGAUUCUUUCUUAGGUCUUUAUGGGUUUAUUGAAGUUGUAUGAGAAUUAUAGUGGGUAAAAAUAUAGGGGAUUAAAGAUCUCAUUAUUAAUAAUAAAUGGAGAUAAUUAAGUUAAUGUAAAAUAAAGCCUCAGCAUAUAGAAUUAGACAAUGUACAAGUGUAUGAUUUAGUAAUAGUUUAAAGCCUGAUUAAAUAUUGUGCCAGCAGUCGCGGUUAGACUUUAAGGUUGAGUAAAGAUGAAUUGGUUGUUUAGUUAGAUGAGGGGGUUAAAAAGAGUUGGAGAAAAUAAAAGGUGGAAUUGAGUUGUUUUUGAAGAAACAAUAGUUGUUAACUUGAAUCGAAGCUAAAAAUUUUUAGAUUUAAACUAGGAUUAGAUACCCUAUUAUACUAAAAGGUAACUUUAUAGCCUGAUUAUUAAAAGAUAUGGUCUUGAAAUUUAAAGAAUUUGGCGGUAAUUUAGUCUUGUCAGAGGAACCUGUUUUUUAAUCGAUAAACCACGUAAAAUCUUGCUUGUUUUUGUUUUUAGCCUGUAUACCGUCAUUGGUAGAUAAUUUUAAAAGGAAAAAUUAUUAUAAUUAAUUAGUGUUAAUAAAAUUAGAUCAAGGUGCAGCUUAUAAAUAAGUUAAAAUGGGUUACAAUAAAAUUUAUUUACAACGGAAUGAGUUAGGAAGAUUAAGUCAUAAAGGAGGAUUUGAUUGUAAUGUGAAUUUAAUAUGUUCAGGAGAUAUAAGCUCUAAAUUAUGUACAUAUCGCCCGUCGCUUUCAUUAUAUAGAUGAGAUAAGUCGUAACAUAGUAGGUUUACUGGAAAGUGUACCUAGUUUA
rnacentral:ncRNA from 1 species